AAGAUGCCACUGGCAGCUCUCUCUCCCUCCCGCUAUCCAAUCCCGUCUCGGCUCUCUCUCUCUGAGGGCCUCUGUCCGCACCUUCAAGGAGCACACCUACUGCGUCUACUCCGCCCUCUUCGCCUCCGUCUCCAGCGACUGCACUGCACGCGUCGGGGACGUGCAUGAGCCUAGAUCCACCAUGAUCAUCCCGGCGCAUGAGUUCGAGAUCCUCUCCUGCGAUUGGAACAAGUACGACAACUGCGUCAUCGUCACUGCCUCCGUCGACAAAUCGAUCAAGGUUUGGGACGCCAGGUCCAUCGGAGCUUCGAUUUGCUUCUCAACGGCCACAGCUACGCCGUCAGAAAAGCCAAAUGCUCGCCGCAUUGGCAAAGCUUGAUGACGUCGUGCUCGUAGGACUUGUCAGUUCCGUUGCUUCAAUACUAGUAAGGACUAGGGAUCGGCGACGAUUCCGAUAGCUACAGCUCCGGCCUUGGAUCAAUAACUCUGAAAACUACAUUGCCGUCGCCGUCGAUUACCGCCUAGUGAUUCGUGACACUCCCUCCUUCAAGCUGAUUCUGCACUGUCUGAAGAGACUAUUCAAAAAGGCUGGCUGUCUUUGCAUAUGUUCCGUGGGUAUUAUCAUGUUCUGUUCGAGUAGCUUGACAGCUUUGUGGGUCGCAAAGUUACUGAGAGAAGUAGAGAAGCAAAGGAGCUAGCUAGAUCAACAAGAAAAUCAGAAUGAGUGGAGGCGGCAUGGAAGCGGUGUCAUCUAGGCCACAAGAGGCGAAUGGCCAACACAAGAGAAAGUUUGCUAGGGGAACUUUCUUGUGGUCCAACUAGUCCCUUUGCUGUUCUUGUAGCUAGUAUGAGAGAUAAUACUUUUGUUAGACGACUUUGUUAAUUGUUUUUCACCUAGUAUGGUAAUUGAUUUAGCUAGCUAGUUACUGAUGUCUACCUAGCUAGUUAAUCUUUGUGUGAUGUUUAGUAUUGAUAUCUGGGUAUUGCUAAGCUUGGUAUGUGUAUUUUGUUCGAUUAAUAUACUUGAUUCUUAGUUUCAUUCAAAAAAAAAAAAAGAAUAAAAAAGGUUUGUGGGUUCAC